CCUACGGGAGGCAGCAGUGAGGAAUAUUGGUCAAUGGACGAGAGUCUGAACCAGCCAAGUAGCGUGAAGGAUGACUGCCCUAUGGGUUGUAAACUUCUUUUAUAUGGGAAUAAAACGUUCCACGUGUGGGAUUUUGUAUGUACCAUAUGAAUGAGGAUCGGCUAACUCCGUGCCAGCAGCCGCGGUAAUACGGAGGAUCCGAGCGUUAUCCGGAUUUAUUGGGUUUAAAGGGAGCGUAGGUGGAUUGUUAAGUCAGUUGUGAAAGUUUGCGGCUCAACCGUAAAAUUGCAGUUGAAACUGGCAGUCUUGAGUACAGUAGAGGUGGGCGGAAUUCGUGGUGUAGCGGUGAAAUGCUUAGAUAUCACGAAGAACUCCGAUUGCGAAGGCAGUUCACUGGACUGCAACUGACACUGAGGCUCGAAAGUGUGGGUAUCAAACAGGAUUAGAUACCCCAGUAGUC
rnacentral:rRNA from 1 species